ACACCAGGCUCAAAAGGUCGUCCUCUCCCUGUGCUUGCACAGAGAAGAGGACGACUUUGGGAGCCGCCAAAUCAUGAGGACGCAGCCCGAAAGGGCGAGAGUCCGAAUGAUUUGAGGAUUCCGAGAGCGCGCAAGCGCGGAGGAAUCCGUAGGUG
rnacentral:sRNA from 1 species